UACGUAGGUGGCGAGCGUUGUCCGGAUUUACUGGGCGUAAAGCGCGCGCAGGCGGUCUGUUAAGUCUGCGGUGAAAUCCCGGAGCUCAACUCCGGAUAUGCCGCGGAUACUGGCGGACUAGAGACCGGUAGAGGCGAGUGGAAUUCCAGGUGUAGCGGUGGAAUGCGUAGAUAUCUGGAGGAACACCGGUGGCGAAGGCGGCAUCCUGGACCGGUAUUGACGCUGAGGCGCGAAAGCCAGGGGAGCAAAGCGGG
rnacentral:rRNA from 1 species